CGGGAUUUCCGCAACUUGGUUGCAGACAGCAAAAAGGAAUAUACAAAAGAAGGAAACAGCACUAAAAUAAACCAAUCCUAUAAAUAGGUAAAGUAGGAGGCAUCAAUCUAAAAAUAGGGUUCCCUCUAGGCCCUUUAGACAAAGGUAAUACACAAGACAAGACAGAAGAAGGUUGCGCCAAAGCUGACUAUAGUAUAGCUAAAAUGAACAAAGUCCAAAGUGUAAGUGGUGCCAAAACAAAGUCUUUAGUUGGGCCUGAUGGGGCACCGAAGGCCUAUGUGGAGGAGUAUUCUCUAUACGGAUCACGUGAAGACGGCUUUCCAGGAUCCGUAUGUAAAGAGAGAAACAAAUAAUAGUGCAAAUACAUCUGAUAAAAGGGUUGGUAUGCAGGAAGAAGAGAUCUAUGGUAAUCCUACUCACGUUUAGUAGAGCUAAACUAGCUCUAGUG